rnacentral:rRNA from 1 species
AGAUUGAACGCUGGCGGCAGGCCUAACACAUGCAAGUCGAGCGGUAGAGAGGUGCUUGCAUCUCUUGAGAGCGGCGGACGGGUGAGUAAUGCCUAGGAAUCUGCCUAGUGGUGGGGGAUAACGUUCGGAAACGGACGCUAAUACCGCAUACGUCCUACGGGAGAAAGCGGGGGACCUUCGGGCCUCGCGCCAUUAGAUGAGCCUAGGUCGGAUUAGCUAGUUGGUGAGGUAAUGGCUCACCAAGGCGACGAUCCGUAACUGGUCUGAGAGGAUGAUCAGCCACACUGGAACUGAGACACGGUCCAGACU